UACGUAGGCAGCAAGCGUUGUUCGGAGUUACUGGGCGUAAAGGGUGUGUAGGCGGUUCUUUAAGUUUGGUGUGAAAUCUCCCGGCUCAACUGGGAGGGUGCGCCGAAUACUGAGGGACUAGGGUACGGGAGAGGAAAGUGGAAUUCCUGGUGUAGCGGUGAAAUGCGUAGAUAUCAGGAGGAACACCGGUGGUGUAGACGGCUUUCUGGACCGUAACUGACGCUGAGACACGAAAGCGUGGGUAGCAAACAGG
rnacentral:rRNA from 1 species